rnacentral:rRNA from 1 species
UUUCCGUAGGUGAACCUGCGGAAGGAUCAUUCAUGAAGGACAUGCUGGAAUCGAGUGUGAAGAACCUCUUCCAAGUCAUUUUUCCUUUUUCGUGCACAUUCGUAACUCUAUAUUUUUUCAAAAACCAUUCAAAACAACAACUAAACAAAACAAAAAUACAAAACUCGUGGCGGUGGAUGUCUAGGCUCCGGUAACGAUGAAGAACGCAGCGAAAUGCGAUACGUAAUGCGAAUUGCAGAACCCGUGAAUCAUCAAAUUUUUGAACGCAAGUGGCGCUCGUGGGCAAUCCUGCGAGCAUGUCUGUUUGAGUGUCCAACGUGAGAACAUUUUGUUCCUUUUGAACGGCUGAAUUCGGCCUGUUUGGGGAGCUGCUGAUGGGUGUUUGUCCUUGCAUUUGAAAUGCGGGGUCACCUGAAGAGUAGAGUGUCGGGGGGGGGUUUGCGUCUUUGAGCAAUCUUUUUUCUGUUUCCUGUAAAAAGGAAUAUCGGUCUCCCACAGCGUUGUGAAGUAAUGUAAAAGUUACGGGAAGCAAGGUUGUUGGGUUUUGGGUACCCAGGAAUGGGCAGAGAGUUUGUUUUCUGAGAUUGCGGCUGGCUCACUGGUCUUGAACUAAUCUAACGAUUACAACACACAUAUUUGGAUCUCAAAUCAGACAAGACGACCCGCUGAAUUUAAG